rnacentral:rRNA from 1 species
UACGAAGGGGGCUAGCGUUGCUCGGAAUCACUGGGCGUAAAGCGCACGUAGGCGGACUCUUAAGUCGGUGGUGAAAUCCUGGAGCUCAACUCCAGAACUGCCUUCGAUACUGAGAGUCUUGAGUCCGAGAGAGGUGAGUGGAACUGCGAGUGUAGAGGUGAAAUUCGUAGAUAUUCGCAAGAACACCAGUGGCGAAGGCGGCUUCCUGGCCUGUUCUUGACGCUGAGGCGGCGAAAAGCUAGG